rnacentral:misc_RNA from 1 species
ACAAACUUGGUCAUUUAGAGGAAGUAAAAGUCGUAACAAGGUCUCCGUUGGUGAACCAGCGGAGGGAUCAUUACAGGAUCGUCGAAAGACGUCUCCAUAAACCAUUGUGAACUUACCUAUUUGUCGUGCUUCGGUAGGCAGGCGAGCAUUCGUGUUUAGCCUCCUAGGCCGGUUUAGGUGCCUACCGAAGUGCAAAACUUUUUCAAACUAUGAUAUCUUUGUGGAAUCUCUGAAAAAAAAUUAAACCAAUAACAACUUUCAACAAUGGAUCUCUUGGCUCUGGCAUCGAUGAAGAACGCAGC